GCUAGGGAGAAUUGUGUACAGUGGCAUUUUUUAGGAGGGCAUUUUUAUAAAUGUUCAUGUAUGCUAAACGAGCCAUUCUGAGACACAGACCAUUUGAUCUGAGAGUGGAAUUUAAACUUGGGAAGAAGCAAUGGGACUAGAAACACUGGAGAACAACAGUACUUGCUACUAGCUAAAUGUAGCUGGAAAGAUAAAAUGAUUUUGUGUAAAUAAGUCCACUCACCUUCUUUCAAAACUUCUGGGGCCAAAUCUGACCCAUUAAUAUUUUUAAUUUUGUGAACUUCCAGUAGAAAUAUUGAUGCCCAGGUAGGCACAGACUGACAGUCAGUGACUCAUCAGUCUUACUUUAUAGAUUGCCUCUGCCUCUCAGCUCUUCUAAUCAAAUAUUCAUUGCUUGGAAAUGCCCUCCCAGUGUGUCUUUGCUGGUUAAUUAGAAUCCCCUCACCCUGACUCUGGAACUUCUCCCUCAGACUGAAUGGAGCAGACUUCUGCUUCGUACCCAGGCAAAUCUUCCAGCAGCUCCCCAGGUUUGUACAGGGUGAUGUUGAGCCCGAGGUGCUGCUGAGACCCUGCUGGCUCUGCUGUCAGCCACAGAGGAAGCCAAGGCAGCUUCUGAUUGAACAAAACCCUCUGUCUUUAUCAGUGCUCAGAGUCCCAUCCCAGCCUACAAACUUCAGUGAAAGUUGUUGAAAUGUGAAGAGGACUCCUGUUGGAGUGAACUGGAGUAAUAGCAGUAAAUUAAAAAACUUACAAGCAAACACACCUCACCAAAGUACAAACAAAAAUCUUCUCCAGCUCCACAGAUAACUUUCCAUGUGGGCCUAAGUAAAAUGUAAGCAAAGUCUGAAGAUUAGAUCUACCACUUUUCUCUGAUCAAGACAAGCGCCUAUCCAAACAAGUUUAGUCUAAUGUGAUCUGUCUUUCCUAAAAUCACAUUGCCUUUUGGCCUCUCUCUUUUUUUUUUUUUUUUUUUUUUUUUUUUUUUUUUUUUUUUUUUUUGCAUCCUGAUUAUUAUUUUCUCCAAUAUUUGUUUGAAAAAGUUGUACAUGAUAGAGGUCAGAUGAAAAAACUGUGCUUUUUAAACCACUUCUUUUCCCAGCUCAAGAUCUGAACCCAAAUCUUUAUCUUUCUGUCAUUUAAGUGCCUGCACCAUGUCCACUACUUCUUAUAUGUUAACAUACAUUGCAAUACUUAUGGAAGACAUAUAUAACCUUGUACCAUCAUUAUACACAGGUUUUCUGGCUGUUCAACAUCAAAUAAGAUUUUUAAGAAGUUGAACCAGAUGCAGUUUAAAACUCUCUCUAUCACCAUCCUUACAUAUGACUGCCUCUGCUCAGUACUGUCAUUUUAUCAUUAGUUAACAAACACAGGCAAAAGUUUGAAUCUGUUACAUUUAUUUGAGACUUUCAGAUCAAUAUGAAGAGUGUCUUUGGGAUUUUUUUCUUUCCUGUGCAAAAAUGUCAUCAAUUAUUAAUCAAAGCAGACUAGACUUCAUUGAAGAUCUGGCUUCCUGCAGCAUGAUACAGUAUACUUAAAGGUGCAUUCUUUCUUAAACUGCUGCAUGCUCGAGUAGCUUUUAAUUGCAAUAGGAUAUGGAUCCCCUGGUAAAGCCUAAAUGAGUGUAAGUGCGAAAUAUGGGCUGCAAUGUUUUCACAUGCAAAGAGUUUUAUCCUAUGCACUGAAACUGUGCAGAACAGGCUACACAGAUGGUCCUGUGGGGCUUCAGCAGAAAGCCUGAAAAAUUGUCCCGCUCUUCCAGGGACGGGCACGGCAGGGACGUUCACCCCUGUACAAAGGGCAAAUAGGCCCCAAAUUCAGAUUGGCUUUGGAAGAAGAAAUGGAGGCAUGACAAAAGCUGAAUUUCAAGGCUGGGUGUUUAUUUCCUGAAGACAUUCCUGGUGACCCUCACGCUGGCUAACAAAGAAUCCUCAGCCUGCCAGGCCUGGGGUUACUGGGGGAAGUGGGGAUGUGUGCCAGAUUGGGACUCAGAUCUUGCAUCAGCCUUGAACAAGAAGCUUCCAGUAUUUAUUUUAAAGCUCUAUUGGCUCAGUUGAAGCCAUGCCUGUCAUGAUAAUUAUGUUCAAAUGCAAGCUAAAAUGACUUAAAGACACAUUUAGAAGGACUGUGAACCCUGUCAGAAUUGAUAACUGAGGCCUCACUUCCUUUAUUAUUUUCACAUGCUCAGUUUAUUGAAUAUGUACAGAGAAUGAAUUGAAAACCAAGUGCUGUAGUUGUGAGACGUUUAAAUUAUGUAGUAGUAGCUUGAGACACUGUGGUUAGCCAUUAAAUAAAUAAUCGUAAACAGACCAGCUCCGAAAGAUCUAUUUCUAUAUUUAUGUUUGUGGCCUAAGAGAGGAAAUGGAUGCUUUUCAAUGAGAGAAAAAAAAUUCAUCCAUCAUGGGGUCCUCCAACUAAGGUAUCUAGUGCCAGUAUAAAUGGUAUUUUAAAACAGUAUCAAAUGGGUUUCUAGCAUCUCCUAGGAGUGGACGGCAGCCAAGUUUCUUUGUAUUACCUUUUUGUUUUCUAUAUGACGUAGAUAUUCAUUUUGAGAGAACUGUAGGAACAGUUUGUUGUUUGGGCUUUCCUUUUUUUUUUUUUUCUCUCUUUAAGAAAAUUGUUUUCUGUUAAUUAAAUUGGAAUUCAUCCCACUGAAACUCACCUGCCACAGAGCUCAGCAGGCAAGAAAAGGCAGUCCUGCUGGCCUUGGAAAAUAGUAGCAAUGUUCCAAUUAAUUGUAGUUGGACCAGAAAAAUGGCACUUCUCACAAUGAUCUCAUGGUUUCACUGUGUGCACUCAGUUCUUUGUGCAUUUCUUUUUACAGCUGCAGCUCCUGGAGUCAUGAGAGCCCUACUGCAUUUCAGUUGUCCUUUUCAGAGAGAAAAGCGGGGAGAAGUUUCACCCUCUACCUGUGGAUGAGAAUGAAAAAGAGGACUCUUAGGACUCAGGCAUGAGAAGAUAUUUGCCUGUUUUUGUAACCAUUUGCUUGAGUCACCAGUGGUGAGAGCACUCAACUCUGACCUGUAUUGUGCAGACUAUGACUUCAGCCUCCAAACUUAUACCCAGCUUGUGACAGAGGCGCUUCUGUGAUGAAAGAAAAUAGGACCUGGCAAGAGGCAGCCAUGAUCUGGAUGCUUCAGAGGAUCAUCUUGGGAGAUGAUAACUCAUUUCCUACCAUCAGUCAAUGUCUGUAACCACCUGCUUUUGGAGGAGAAUGCCAGGAUGAUGUGAGCCAAAGGCUGCAGCUCUUUCCUUCAGUGGCUUUUGAGGAUGUGGUACCAUGUGAAUGAAGCUGAAUAUGAGAAGCUGGAAAAAGACAGCAGGGAGAAGAAAGCAUGUAGUGUCAGCAUGGAGUUUACUUCUUGCUGCUUCUUCACUGCAGCUAUUUUGAGACUAGGAAAAAGUUUGGAAGACUUGCUCCUCUUGCUGUGCAGGCACUGACCUAAGAAGAGCUGGAUGCAGACAGAGCCCAGCUGAAGCCAGAGUAGUAGAAAUAUAAGCCCUUGCAUGCUGCAGAAGAGUUUGGCUGAUGGAUGCUCUGGGAAGAUGGUGCUGGGAAAAGCUGUCUCUCUUGCUGGUUCUUUCCAAGGGUGGGUUUGCAUUUGCUGCCUGGAAAGACAACUCACAAGGGCUUUGCUCAAAGGUUGUACUCCUGUCCUGUGAAAGAAAAGGCUGCACAUCACACUACACCUUGUCCUUCUGGAUGCAGCUACCUCUGGAUUUGCGGCUUAAAAUCUGGCAAGGGGACAGAGGAAGGUCAAUGAUCAUUGGAGGAAUAAGUAAGACAGUAGCUUAAGGUAAAGCUUCAGAGAGCUCACAGUUACCGUUAGGAGGAACAAGCAGUGAUGUCAUAUUGGCAUAUCUAAUUAGAAAUUGCUGGGAGCUACUGGACUGGACAGUCUCUUCAAAUGCCAGCAACACCGCAGGAGCUGGAUGUAAAUGUUGUAAUUGAUAUAAAGAUGGAAGCUGCUCCACUGCAAAGUGACAUUUCAGAUAUUGUGGGAAUGGAUGAUCUGAAAUGUCCUCAGUGAGAUCUGUUUCCCUCAACUCUUUUGACUCCUGUCAGAGGUGCAUGUUUGAGCUCUUCUCUGGGCAGAUGGCUUCUACAAAUAGAACUGGCUUUGAAAUAUAAAGUUUUGCUGAAUUCAUUAUAAGCCUUCUGACUUCAAAGCUUUGUACUUUCCUCUUUAGUUUAAAAUAGAGUCACUUGGCUGCUUUCAGGCCUGUUACAAUUGGAGGCAGGUGCUGCAGUGGAUGUCACUGGCGAGGCACAGCAGUGGUGCUUAUUUAGGGUACACUGAGCAGCUGUGUGCCUGUCUCACCUCUGCCCACAUCCAGACAGGACAUACAUGCUUCAUACAGUUAGAUGGGUCUUAGGGAGCUCUCCCUGUCAGAGACUUUCACGUUUUUCUCCUUCCUCAAGGAGAGAGGUGGCUGCACUAGCCUAGCCCUGCAUCUCUGGCUCCCCCAGGGUGCAGAGAGCUGUGCAAGGAGGAGGAUGGGAUGGAGUUGGGAUGGUGUUUGUAACAGGAAUUGUUCUGCCCAUCUAGGCUUAAGUUCUCUUCAUUGAAGACUUCACAAGAAGCUUCUUUCCUGAAAGUGAGGAUUUUUAUGAAUUACUCGUUAUAGAACUUCAUAUUAAACUCACCUUCUGGAGCAUGAUGGUUUUCCACAUCAACUCAGCAAGUGGAUAUUAAUAAUCGGAGACUAUUGUCAAUAUAAAACAGUCAUUGUGACUUUGUUAUCACUGCAUGUAUUUCAGCUGUGAAGUGAUGGGGUUUAGGUGUUACAUCUCACACUUUUAAGGAGUAUUGGAGCAACCUAAAGGGACACAAGUGGGAGACCUUUCUCUUUGUAUCUAGUUGCUACACAGAGAAAUGACAUUUUGAUAGCCAGAGGUUCUCUGGAAAAAAAAAAGUUACUUUGGAGACUGAAUUAUCAGCUUAGUCAAACUGUUCAUAUGCACAGAAUGAGGGGAGAAACGAGCACCCAAACUUCAAAGCAGCUGGACCAUUCUUUUCAACAUCUUCUGACUUGCCAAAACUUUAUAUCAAAAUUCUUCAGGUUCAGUUUGAAACUUUUAAAUGCUCAAAGACAAAAUGUUUAAACAAUACAAAAUGUUUGCUUCAUGCACAAAGUUUUGGGGUUUUUUUGUGGUUUUUUGGGGGUUUUUUGUUUGUUUGUUUGUUUGUUUGUUUGUUUUUGUUUUGUUUUUUUUUUUAGAACAAGCAUCAAGCUGAAAAUCUAUUCUUCACCCUGUUCUGGUUGCUUACAGAAUCUGGAUAAGUUAGAGACAGAACUUUCUGAACUGAAGAGUGUUUAAACAGAAAAAUUAGGUUCUUCACCAGAAACUCCUUUUUCAGCAGCUGGAUCCUUUAUGGAUGAUCCAAACGAGCAGUAUAUUACAGCUUUCAGCAUCCCUCCAUAUAUUUUUGAACUAAGAAGCUUUUGUUGCAUUUUUGUCUUAUCAGCUGUACAGUAUAAAAAAUGUCAACUCUUUCCAAACCUUUAUUGUUUCAUUAGAAGGAUUAUUCUUAAUUUCAGCCCUGGAGUCAGUUUAUGUGUGGUUUGAUCUUCUGUUCUUCCUUUCAUACAGAUGCUAUCAGCAUGGACAACAAAGCAGCCCUGUCACACAGGAUUAAUGGCAGAGUGUGGUUUUGCUUCUGGAACAGUAAUGUCAUACCAUAUGAAUAAACACUGAAAUUGGGAUAAUUUUUCUGAAUGCUUCAGCAUUCUAAGUAAAAAGUAAUAACCCUGUCAGGAACAAUAUUCACUGCUGUCUCAUCUGGCUGUGCUGGAAUUAGUGGCACUCUCGGAGGAGGAACACAGGUAUGUCAGUGUUGGAAACAGAGCAUGUGGUUGUAUUAGAGCAAAAAGCAAACAAAUCCCUUGAUCACAGUACAGGGAGAGAAACGUAAUACUGCUUGGAAAAUCAGCACUGCUUUGAAUAUAGCAUUUGUUUUGGUUUCCUCAUGAGAAAGAUAAUAAAAAAUGGAAGAUAGAAAGAUAGAUGUAUAUGUAUUAGUAUAUCAGACAAAAUGUGUUGUAGAAUUCAGCAGAAGAUGAAAACCAGUCUGUGAAAUCAAGACUAAGGGCAGGGACAAAGAGAAGACAGAGAGGAAAGUGUUACUGAGUACUCUCUACCUUAAUAGAAAAUCAAGGGGGAGCAAAACCUUGAUGAAGGAUGAGACUUAAAAAUAUUCCGAUUCACCUAAAAAAACCCCAGAAAUAAUUCUGAGGCAUUGCAGGGGCGAGAGGAGGUUGCUCAGCCAUUUUUCUGAUUUGUUAAACAAUUUGCCUCUAGAUUUCCAUGCAUGUUCAUUUGUAGAGGUGCCAGCCAAAAGAUGUUUGAUGCUGAGAAAAUUUCAAAAAUCUAUCUCUUCCUAGCUGCCCCAAGGUCACUGCUUAGAGUGUUUAAAUUUUGGAAAUGUCAGUUUGAGACACUUGCAUAGAAAAAAUAAAUGCACAGUUACACUGUUUAUCCUAUCUACUCAAAAACAUGUUGAGCUCUAGUCAUCUUUGAAAUAGAAUCUUCCUCCACAACACAUUGCUGCCCAGUAGCAUGUGUUACAGAGGAUAUUUAAGACUGCUUUGGAAGAAGCCAAGAUCAGACAUUGCCAGAAAUCAGAUAUUCAAUUAAAUGGUCUCGUGCUUCAAGCCAAUAUGACAGGGGUACCUUCUAAUGAAAAAAAAAAAAGAGAGAGAGAGAGAGAGAGAGAGAAAAUUGCUGCUGUGGCAACACAACAUCUGGGAAUAAAUGGUUAUGAAGAAAGAAUUUUUACAUUAGCAAUGUGGUCACUUGCAUGGAUGUAACAGUAGGCUUUGCAAAGUACAGCCAUGAAUGUGAACAGUGUUCCCUUGAGCACUCUUCAUCUUCCAAACAUGGUCUAGCCUGACCUGGGAAAAUCAGAGGAGAGACAAAAUUUACUGUAUUGGGAUAACAGGUUUGCAAAAAGAAGUUAUGUUCCAGCUAUGGCUGUCCAAGAAGCAACUGUGCUGGUGCUUUAAGCGUUGGUUUUAACAACAAUGCAGGUUUGUGCCUUCACUCCUGCUCCCCUCUUCUCCUCAUCUGGCUAUAUCCACCUAGAAGGCUGACCCAGCUCCGAACUCUAUCAUAGAGUGGAGCUCUUUCCCUCCCCUUCCCCUUUUGCUAUCUCCACACUAUUUUUCCCACCAGUUCAGCUCUCUGCUGCCAUUUGUCGUGCAACCAGUGUCCCCAGUGUGGCUGGGGAUUACUGUGUUGGGGCAGGGACAUACUCCGGGGAACAGAAGAUUUUCUGUGCCUGCGGGUGGAUGUGUGAAGCACUGGCUAUUUUAUUUGCCUUUGGAUCUAACUUCCUUGGUUUAGCUAUUGUCUAACAACUGAAAGGACUGACAUUAGCUGCCUGGUUCCCAUUAGCAUGACUUUCUGCAAUUGAAGCCGUGCAAACAGAAAUCAGGCAUAUGCAUCUUGCUGAUACCAGUAUUUUGAAACCCUUUCCAAACCCUUUUGCCAGUAACUGCAGAAAAGGUUUUAUACCUGUAAGAAUAUGUAUAUUGGGCUUUCUGCCAGAAGCUGUGAGAGGGGCACAAUAUGUGCUGCUGGAUUAUUUUACCAACUGAAUAAAUGUCAUCUCUUUUCCAAAUAAACUUAA